GACUGCGGUUCAUUGAAAAAGUGGUCCCACCUGGUCCUACUUGGUACCCUGUCAUUCCAGGCCGAACAGUAGAUUCCAUCCGGGGCCUGUUGGUCUGGGCUGGCUGGAUUUUGGUUGCAAUUUCCUCUAGCAAAGACUUCAUUGCAGUCUGAUGGUCCAAGAGCUCCCCCUGUAGGCGGGAAACCUCUCCCUGUAGAGCAGAAAUGCUGGCAGUAACCGGAACUUGAUAUCCUCCAUGGUGUCUCUUGGUUCUACAACGGGAACUUGUGAUGGAGCUUACGUUUCCAUUGCAGUUUGAGGAAGAACAUGUGGGUCUAAAGGAGAACCCAUCAUCAAAUCCAAUCCAGUUAAUUCCAUAUC